AUCCAGUUGAUGAGUCCGAAAUAGGACGAAAUGCGCAUCCUGGAU
rnacentral:hammerhead_ribozyme from 1 species